AUGCAGUCGAACGAGUUCUCGUUGAUGAUCGGUGCUUGCACCGAGAUUCAACAUGGAACGAGUGGCGGACGGGUGAGUAACACGUGGGUAACCUGCCCUUAAGUGGGGGAUAACAUUUGGAAACAGAUGCUAAUACCGCAUAGAUCCAAGAACCGCAUGGUUCUUGGCUGAAAGAUGGCGUAAGCUAUCGCUUUUGGAUGGACCCGCGGCGUAUUAGCUAGUUGGUGAGGUAAUGGCUCACCAAGGCGAUGAUACGUAGCCGAACUGAGAGGUUGAUCGGCCACAUUGGGACUGAGACACGGCCCAAACUCCUACGGGAGGCAGCAGUAGGGAAUCUUCCACAAUGGACGCAAGUCUGAUGGAGCAACGCCGCGUGAGUGAAGAAGGCUUUCGGGUCGUAAAACUCUGUUGUUGGAGAAGAAUGGUCGGCAGAGUAACUGUUGUCGGCGUGACGGUAUCCAACCAGAAAGCCACGGCUAACUACGUGCCAGCAGCCGCGGUAAUACGUAGGUGGCAAGCGUUAUCCGGAUUUAUUGGGCGUAAAGCGAGCGCAGGCGGUUUUUUAAGUCUGAUGUGAAAGCCCUCGGCUUAACCGAGGAAGCGCAUCGGAAACUGGGAAACUUGAGUGCAGAAGAGGACAGUGGAACUCCAUGUGUAGCGGUGAAAUGCGUAGAUAUAUGGAAGAACACCAGUGGCGAAGGCGGCUGUCUGGUCUGUAACUGACGCUGAGGCUCGAAAGCAUGGGUAGCGAACAGGAUUAGAUACCCUGGUAGUCCAUGCCGUAAACGAUGAAUGCUAGGUGUUGGAGGGUUUCCGCCCUUCAGUGCCGCAGCUAACGCA
rnacentral:rRNA from 2 species